GAACCUAUGAGCAGGUAUAUGUGUAUCACGUGACGCACUGGAGCGACAAUUUGACUGUGCUGCUUCCAGCUGAUUCAGCGUGAAAACAGAAGGGCGACAUAAAAUCCAUAUUGUGAAGUCUGUGUGAUAAGAACAGACAGGACAACGUUUCUCAGAUAUGACUCCAUUAACAAUUGGAUGUCUGUUGCUGCUCCUCACCACUGUCGAAGCAGGCUAUGUGGAGAUACGAGGAGAAGCUGGACAGGAUGUCAUUCUGCUGUGUAACAGUAGUGACAUUCCAAUCAGAUAUGUAAUAUGGACCAGAUCUGACCUGGUGUAUCCAGACUACGUCCUCUUUCAAAAAACUACACUCUCAGAUCCAACCUACCAGCACUCAUCCUUUAAAGGUCGAGUGCAGCUGGUGGACGGUGAGCUGAGCAGUGGAAACUUUUCUCUAAUCAUUAAGAACGUGAGCAGAGAUGACAACGGUACUUACGAGUGUCGAGUUGCAGCAGAUGCUCUUAAGCUGAUUGAAACCAUCCAGCUGCAGGUGACAGAGCCAGGUGAGUUUGUGUACAUCAGUGUGUUGUUUGUGAUGCAGCUGCAGUUGAUUCCUGACAGUCAGACAUGACAGACAGAAAAGUAAAUUAAGGCUGAUCUACUGUUCACUCCUGUCCUGACUUAUGUUCACCUUCACCUCCAGGGGACCAGGACAACAACAAAGGAACCUCCACUGCUUUACAUGUCGGAUCUGGAGCAGCAGCUGCAGUUGUUCUGGUUUGUUUGGCUGCUGUUGGUGUUUGGUAUUUUUUUUGCAAGAAACCACAAACAUCUGCUGAUGAAGAAACAGGAGGUGAUGAUGUCCUCUGACAUGUAACAGACCUGUCUACAGUGUUUUUUACCUGUUGGAUUUUCAUUCUCUCUGUGGGUGUGAGCUCAGGUAUAGAUCAGAUGCUUGAGGUUCUCCACCAGGACGUUCUGGUAUCAGUAAUGUUCCCCCUAACAAGUCGCUGCCUUACCCAUGUGAAGGGGUUUGUGUAGCUGUGGACUCUGUGAGCUGUGUUGUCUGGAGCACUGAAGCGAUCCUUUUAUUCAAAUCAAAGAUGUCCAAGUCAGUUCAUGACAGGGAGCUUGUGAGUUGUGGAGCGUUGGAGGAUUGUGGAGUUAUAGUUCGACCUCUAAUGUGUUGCUAAUGAAGUUACAGAACAGUGUGACACAAUCACACUGGAGCUUGAACAGCACAGCCGUUAGCUUAGCUUCCCUGAAAAAACAGAGUCUUAUGUGCAGUGUUUCAGAGAUAACUGAUGCUGGUAACGUCAUGUCUUGUCCGGCAUCAGUGGCGGUUCUAGACCAGUUUUUAAUAGGGGGGCCAGGUUGGGGGCGGCUUUUUUGUUAGGGGGGCACAUACAACCCGGGAAAAAGGAUAAAUCCCUCAUUCAGACAAAACAGUGUUUACAAUUUCAGCAAUUUUGAUUGGGUAGUAAACUGCUGAGACACUUUAUUUCUGCCUUUCCCUUCAAAACAAAAUCAUUGCAAGAAAUCUGUCAUUGUAUUAUUAAUGCAGACUCCCUGUCAGGGGCGUCCAGACUCAGAGUCAUGGGGGCACUGGCCCCUGUUGCCCCCCCCCCCCCCCCCCAGAACCGCCCCUGUCCGGCAUCAUUAAUCCCAGAGUCUUUUAUUUCUCACCUGCUCCGUUAGACAACUGAUGAGGCAUCUUACUGACCUAAGCAGGGUUUAUUUAGCAUUAGCAUCCUUAGCUAGCAGCUCCGCCAAUGUCAGAUCAUGCGGUCUGUGUCAGGACGAGGAUUGGUGACAGUAGUUAAGUCACACACAUCUGGAUCAGAACCUGAUACCGAUAUUGGAUCGGUCCCAUCUUUCGUCUUGGUGGUGUGUUCAAGUGCAGCUUCUGACUGAGACUCAGGAGACGUGAGGUGUCUCCGCAGUCGCCGUCUUCAGUGUCAGUUUGGUAUAUCGGCCUCUGACGGGGUUGGAACAAGUCCUGAUGAAUCGCAGACGUGGUGGACGCGGUCAUCACCGCAGCUUUGUCCCUCAGAUUUAGAGUCUCUUACAGAACAUGAUGCCCACAAAGAGUCUCAAAAUCAGCUGUAAGGAGGUCUGAAACAUGAAGAUUUCAUAUUUUAUAUAAUAAAAGCUUGUGUCUGUACUGAUUUAAUGCUACGGGUGUAAACUAGACAUAAUGUUGUUCUUUUUAUACCAAGGAGUAGAUUUCACUCUGCUGAAUGUUAAACUUGCACAUGCAAGCAAUAUUAAUAAAGUAUGAAACAAAAAGUCAGAACUCUUUUUCUUUCUUUUUUACUUUUUACAGUGGAUUUAAUCUAAUGUAAUCUAACACUUGCAUACAUAUUCCAAAAUGUGUGGGAAUAUGAAAUCAUGACAGUGCUGAAGGUCUUUU
ensembl:lncRNA